rnacentral:rRNA from 1 species
UACGGAAGGCAGCAGGGGGAAUAUUGCACAAUGGGCGCAAGCCUGAUGCAGCCAUGCCGCGUGUAUGAAGAAGGCCUUCGGGUUGUAAAGUACUUUCAGUCGUGAGGAAGGUGUUAAGGUUAAUAACCUUAGCAAUUGACGUUAGCGACAGAAGAAGCACCGGCUAACUCCGUGCCAGCAGCCGCGGUAAUACGGAGGGUGCGAGCGUUAAUCGGAAUUACUGGGCGUAAAGGGCACGCAGGCGGUUAAUUAAGUUGGAUGUGAAAUCCCCGGGCUUAAACCUGGGAAUGGCAUUCAAGACUGGUUAGCUAGAGUCUUGUAGAGGGGGUAGAAUUCCAUGUGUAGCGGUGAAAUGCGUAGAGAUGUGGAGGAAUACCGGUGGGCGAAGGCGGCCCCUGGGACAAAGACUGACGCUCAUGUGCGAAAAGCGUGGGGAGCAAAACAGGGAUUAGAUACC